rnacentral:rRNA from 1 species
CCUACGGGAGGCAGCAGUGAGGAAUAUUGGUCAAUGGGCGGGAGCCUGAACCAGCCAAGCCGCGUGAGGGAAGAAGGUCCAGCGUAUCGUAAACCUCUUUUGUCAGGGAACAAAGGCGGGGACUAGUCCCCGGAUGAGGGUACCUGAAGAAAAAGCAUCGGCUAACUCCGUGCCAGCAGCCGCGUUAAUAGGGAGGAUGCGAGCGUUAUCCGGAUUUAUUGGGUUUAAAGGGUGCGCAGGGGGCCUGUUAAGUCAGCGGGAAAAGCCCGGGGCGCAACCCCGGAGAGCCGUUGAAACUGGCGGGCUGGAGUUGGAGAGAAGUACGCGGAAUGCGCGGUGUAGCGGUGAAAUGCUUAGAUAUCGCGCAGAACCCCGAUUGCGAAGGCAGCGUACCGGCUCCACACUGACGCUGAGGCACGAAAGCGUGGGUAUCGAACAGGAUCAGAUACCCCUGUAGUC